ensembl:lncRNA
CAUGCUCUCAUACUUUAUUCCUGUGAUCAGACUGCAGGAGGCAAAUGAGAGCCAAGAGGGUUGUGGCACUUGUGGUUUAUUUUAGAGGUGGUUUAUUCUCUGAAAAGAGAAAAAAAAAAAAAAAAAGAAAGAAACAGAAGAAAAAAAAAGAAAGAAAGAAAGAAACAUUCUGAAAUUUUCACAUGGAAUAGAGAUCUCGUCUGCGUCCUGCUGAGUUGCUUUAAAGAAAACUUUGGUCUCCAAAGACAUCAGUGAGAAAACUAACAAGAGCAUUUUGGGAGAAUAACUAUUUGAUGCCAGAAGGACACUCGGGAUGAAAUUCAGUUGUCUAAACUGGCAUCUAUGGUCCUUGCUAGACCUCGUGGGACAGUGUCUGAGAGAACUGCACCAGGCUGGCUGACAUUAUGUGGGACCUAGGGGAGCUCUGUGCCCUCAUGGCAAAACAGAUGGAUUACCAUUUUGCAAAACCUCUCUGAACAAGAGAUGUAUUAUUCCCAUUUUGGAUGAGAGAAGUCAACGUGGGAUUGCUUCCCUGAGUUACCUGGAAAGUGUGACGCUGAAAGAGUAUUUCACCUCAAAGCUCCUGCAGCCCUUUCCACAGGAACAUUUCUUCUACCUAAGCAUUAAUUGUUUUCCUAAUCCCACUCUCCCUCCUAAUCCCAUUCUCCCCCAAAGGAGAAUAGCUAAAUGUAAAAGAAAGCAAGGUAAAACAGUUACAGGUGUCUAGAACGGCUCAGUACUUGUGCUGUAUUUGCCUGUAUAGUGCUCCUUCUGUCUUGCCCAUUUAGGCAAACAUUGUCUCUUUGUAUGCUCCCACACUUUGUGUUUAAUGAUACUGCCCUUAUGUCUUCUACCUCUGAUACAAGAUCCUGAAAAAAAAAAAAAAAAAAAAGUAUUUUUCAACUUGAAUGGAAUUCUUUUGUCCAGUCUAAAGUUGCGCUUCACUCCUCAGUGUUCCUUGCCUGCCAAAGGAAAAUUAAAAAAAUAAAUAAAAAAGAAAUUUAAAAGUAUGUUUUCAUUUGCAAACAUUUAAGACUAAUGUAAGGCUACUCACUUUGGAAAAAAACAAAACCAUUUGCAGGGUAUGGUGCGCGUGUGUUGGGGAGGGGAGAUAGGGAGAUAUUCAUGUUUCAGAAUUUUCUAAAUCUACUUUUUUUUGAAA